rnacentral:rRNA from 1 species
UACGGAGGGUGCAAGCGUUACCCGGAAUCACUGGGCGUAAAGGGCGUGUAGGCGGUCGUGUAAGUCUGGUCUUAAAGACCGGGGCUCAACCCCGGGGAUGGACUGGGUACUGCACGACUGGACCUCUGGAGAGAGAACUGGAAUUCCUGGUGUAGCGGUGGAAUGCGUAGAUACCAGGAGGAACACCAAUGGCGAAGGCAGGUUCUUGGACAGAAGGUGACGCUGAGGCGCGAAAGUGUGGGGAGCGAACCGG